UGAAAUGUAGCUCAGUUGGCAAAAGCACAAGACUCUUAGUCUCAGGGUUGGGGGUUCGAGCCCCACUAUUCUCAG